AUGUCCGCUCGAGUUUAUUUCUUGUUUGCUGUUUUAUCGUGUGUGUUUGGAUACCUGAACACAACUCGCACCAUUCAAAGACAAAGCACAGGGAAGCCGGGUCAGUGUCCCAUACCGGAGAUGAUUCCACUGUGGGCUGAAAGCUGUUUCAAUGAUGGACACUGUCCGGCCACACAGAAGUGUUGCCCAACCACCAGUGGCUUUGCAUGCAGUGAACCACGUGGUCCAGUACAGGGCAGCGGACCAGACCAGGGAAGCCGGCAGGGACAGCGUAGAAGACGAGGCCAGGCUAGCGGACAGGGCAGUGGACCAGGACAGGGAAGCGGACCAGGUAAGGGAAGUGGACAGGCUAGUGGCCACGGACCGGGACAGGGUAAGGGAAGCGGACAGGCUAGUGGCCACGGACCGGGUAAGGGAAGCGGACAGGCUAGUGGCCACGGACCGGGUAAGGGAAGCGGACAGGCUAGUGGCCACGGACCGGGACCGGCUAAGGGAAGCGGACAGGCUAGCGGCCACGGACCGGGACAGGGUAAGGGAAGCGGACAGGCAAGCAGCCACGGACCGGGACAGGGUAAGGGAAGCGGACAGGCUAGCGGCCACGGACCGGGACAGGGUAAGGGAAGCGGACAGGCUAGCGGCCACGGACCGGGACAGGGUAAGGGAAGCGGACAGGCUAGCGGCCACGGACCGGGACAGGGUAAGGGAAGCGGACAGGCUAGCGGCCACGGACCGGGACAGGGUAAGGGAAGCGGACAGGCUAGCGGCCACGGACCGGGACAGGGUAAGGGAAGCGGACAGGCUAGCGGCCACGGACCGGGACAGGGUAAGGGAAGCGGACAGGCUAGCGGCUACGGACAGGGAAGCGGACAGGGUAAGGGAAGUGGACAGGCUAGCGGACAGAGUAAGGGAAGUGGACUGGGCCAGGCUAGCGGCCACGGACAGGGCCAGGCUAGCGGCCACGAACUGGGACAGGUCAAGGGAAGUGGACUGGGACAGGUUAGUGGACUGGGCCAGGGAAGUGGACGGGCUAGUGGACAGUCUAGCUACUGGAGAGGGGGUCAGGAACCGUGGUGCCCGUGGCAAUAUGGACCAUGGUGCAGAUGGGGACCGUGGUGGUAGCUGGCCAGGGGAUUGUUCAGUUAAAUUGUCAGGGCGUGGUCAUUGAAAUGGUCAUGGGGAUUUUGCCUAACACCUACUGGAGAUCUCUCUAAUUCCGUGAUCUUCAUAUGGCAUGUUAUCCCUGUUUGCUCAACCUUUUUGAUUUUCUGCCUCUCCUCAACCACCUUAAAUAAAAAUUGCUUUAUUGAAGAGAUGGGGUCUUUUGGUUUGAUUUGGCUGUUUUCUCACAUACUUCCUUUCUGGCAUCACUGCAUUAAGUUCCUCUCCCUGGGGCCUGUUCUUCGUACGUUGCUGACUCCAUUAGCUGGAUUUGAAUGUUGACGAUUUGGCGUGCUCCUAGAUCAUUUGGUUCUUCGAGGCUCAUCCCAGAGCUGCUGUCAUAGCAACAAGUCCGUAAACUUAAACCUGCUCUGCAGCAGGCUUAUUUAAUGUAAACUGGAUUAGAUUGCUGCUUUUCAACCAGAACUGAUACUCAAAAUAUGACUGUUACUUUUAUUACAAGAGUAUCGUACUGAUCCAGGGACAAUAAUUUAAAAUUAAAAAAAUAUAAAAAUGUUGUGUAGUCCAUAACAGCCUACUAUAGACACAGCCAGAUUUCCUCACUGAAAUAUUUAUUUUUCAUAAAAUUAUUCAGAAUUAUUUCAUGAUUGUAUUAGUCUUACACACGCGAUACAGCUAAUAGAGUCGUGCAUUAUUUUGAGUGAUGACUGCUAUUAUAAGAGUGGCUUGAUGGAGAUGCAGAUAACAUGAAAUUGACCCUUAAGAAACUUUCAUUAAUGCUGUCACGUAACAAGAAGACUGCAUAACUAUUAUAAAUUGGGAAUUGUGAAAAGAAACCCUAAUAAAAUAACAUGUAUCUAUUAUUAGUUUCAUGUAUCUUUUAGAACAUGUAGUUUUGUUUGCUUGGCUGUUUCCUUAUAAAAGUCCAGAAAUUUGUUUUUCGUCGGGUGUCAUUUUAAAUUAUAUGACGUCAUUACAUUGCCGUGUUGCCACCAGCCAAUCGCUGCACUUCUGAUCAUGGUUUCGAGUAUUGAUCCAUAUCCCCUUUAAGCCAACACAUGAACGCGCAAUUAUCUCAGAUAACUCAUGCCAGCGAUACUAAUCAUGCACAACAGGUGUGUUCGAAGAACCCGAUUAGCACGAUGAUAUCAUCUUGGAUGUGUCAUUUUCCUUACGAAAAAUAACCAUGGUUUUAUUAUAGUAAAACUGUAGUAACCCAUGGUUUUUUUGGCGUGUUGACUACCAUUUGUAUAACCACAGAUUUACUACAAAUACCAUGGUUAAACUAUGGUUAAUUUAGCAAAACCAUGGUUAAUUUGUGGUUACCAUGGUUUAACUAUAGUAACCAUGGUUUUUUUGGUUUUAUUUGUAGUAAAACCAUGGUUAAUUUUCAUAAGGGUUGAUCUCGGAUGUAAUAAGCGACGUACGAAGAACGGCCCUGGACAUUUAGCAAAGCAUUGUAUUUCAGAUUGCGUGUGAUGGGGCCCCAACUUGUUUGACAAUUUUCAUGUCAUUGCUCCAAUGUGGGCCAGGCAUCAGGCUUGUUUUAGGCUUCCUCACUUUUUAUAUUUUGGAUAUCAAUUAUUAGGGUGAAAAAAAUAAAGUGCUGCCCUGGGGGAAACAAGGCCUAUACCGCAAAUCGCAUUUUACCUUCCACUCUCUGCACAAAUGACUGGCUAUGCACCUAAUAUAGCACACAUUAAUGUAGCUUAAACUAACACUGUGAGAAGUGCUUUUAGUAUUUAUAGAUUUUAUCUUUGUCAAGUGGUAAUGCUUGGAGAAGGCUAAAUUGAUUAAAAAGCUGGCUAAUUUGCAGUCUGCCACUGGCAGCUUUGAAAAACAAAAGCUUGACUUUAACAUUAUAAAGUUAUUUCUUAAACUUUAAUAUUUCCAUUUUAAAAAUGAGCUAUUUUAAAUGGUUUUAUUUCAAGCUUUUCAGAGAGAUUUAAAGAUGUAGUGCAGAGUCUGACUACAGGUGUUUCCCAAAUUAGAAUGUCGUGGGAAAAGUUCAUGUGAAACUUGUGUAUUCAAUUCACACGUACUGAAGUUGUUUGGAUUUUGGCUCCCAUUUAACAAACCCAUCAAUUCACCAUCUCCACAAAUUAGAAUGUUUCAUACCCCUCCCCCAAAAUGGGUGAAUUGUUGGCCUUCUGGAAAGUGUUAAUUUACUGCACGUGUACUCAAUACUUGGUUGGGGCUCCUUUUUUUGCUUUAAUUACUACCUUGAUUCGGCGUGGCAUGAAGGUGAUCAGUGUGUGGCACUGCUGAGGAAUGGAAGCCCAGGUUUCUUUGACAGUGGCCUUCAUCUCAUCUGCAUUGUUUGGUCUCUUGUUUCCCAUCUUUCUCUUGACAAUACCCCAUAGAUUAUGGGGUAAAGGUCUGGGGAGUUUGCUGGCCAGCCAAGAACACAAACACCAUGGUCACCUAACCAACUUUGAACCGCUCCAAGAUUUCUUGGUAAAUGGGUGCCGUGACUUUAGCUUCCAAUAAAUACAAUGGACUAACACUGUCAGAUGACCUUGCACCCCAAAUCAUUACAUACUGUGGAAACUUAACACUGGACUUCAAGCAACUUGGGCUAUGAGCUUUUCCACACUUCCUCUGGACUGUAGGACCUUCGUUUCCAAAUGAAGAAAAAAUAAAAACUUGCUAUCAUCUGAAAAAAGGAAUUUGGACCAAUGGCAAUAGUUUAUUUCUUCUCCUUAGCCCAGGUAAGAUGCCUCUGUGGUACAGGAGUGCCUUAACAAGAGGAAUAUGACAACUAUAGCCAAAUUCCUUGAGACUUGUGUAUGUGGUGGCUCUUGAUCUCUUGACCCCAGCCUCCAUGCAUUCCUUGUGGAGAUCUCUAAAAUUCUUGAAUCCAGUUUGCUUGACAAUCCUCAUAAGGCUGCGGUUCUCUUGGUUGCUUGUGCAUCUUUUUCUUCCACACGUUCGUUCAACUCAACUUUAACAUGCUUGGAUACAGCACUCUGUGAACAUCUAGCUUAUUGGCAAUUACUUUGAGGUUCCGUCCACACGGAGACGCGUUUCUGUGAAUAUGCACAAAUUUUUUAUCGGAUAGGCGUUUCGUCCACACGGAUCUGGCGUUUUCGCAAGGUGAAACCGCUAUUUUUUUGAAUCCGGGUCCCAGAGUGGAUAAAUUUGAAAACGCUGUCUUUGCGUUUUCAUCUGGACGGCUAAUCCGUAUAUUUUCUGAAACGAUGACAUCAUCAGCCCAUGUCUCCCC
ensembl:lncRNA